rnacentral:misc_RNA from 1 species
GGCUCUUCAACAAAAAUGCCGGCAGAUGUAUGGUCAACUUUUGAGGAAAUUAUAUCCAAAGAAACUCAGCUUCCACGGGAAUCUGCUUUAAGGUGGCUAAGGGCAUUGGAGAAAGCUGGUAAAUACCAUGUUGAAGCUUGGUCUUGACUUUACUUCUUUAUUGUUUGACACCUGAUAAUUCAACCUCCAAGGGAACCAAAG